AGUCUCUGCAGAUCAAUCUUCCCAGAGGCUGUAAAAAGGCCACCGUCACACAUACAUGAAUAACUGAGUAACUGUGCGCCGACUCAGAGAUCUCAACCUUGGGCUGGAAAGACUAUUCAGUAGACAAGGACACUUGCUGCCAAGUCUGAUGACCGGAGUUCAAUUCCUGGGACACACAUGAUGGAAGGAAAGAACUAAUUCCAGAGGCCCCCUGACCUCCACACUCACCAUGGCACAUAUUGCCCACUACACACACACACACACGCACACGCACACGCACACGCACACACAUACACACUCCUAAAAGAAAAAGAAAAGAAGAUCUUAAGCUUUGCAUAUCAUGUACAUCCCUCUCCUCAGGCUUGUUCUCUUUAGUUUAUACUGUCUACUAGCAUGUCCUCAAAUCAGUAUAACUUGUUGGAAUUGAAGAUGUAGUAUAUUUAAUUCUUCACUAAAAAUAUUAUGUGUAUAGGUGUUAUGCCUGUAUGUAUGUUUGUGCACUAUCUGUGUGCAGGACCUGAAAAGACCAGAAGAAGGCAUCAGAUCACCUGGAACUGGAGUUACAGAUGGUUGUGAGGAACGAUGUGGGUGCUCGGAGUCAAACCCAGCUGCUCUGUAAGAGCAGCCAGUGCUCUUAACUGCUGAGCCAUCACCCCAGGCCAAAGAUGUAGGACAUUUUAGGACAAAAACAAAACUGGAAACUAUGCUCAUUAUUGGUAUUUCUUACAAUAAAGGACAUGCCACUAGUAUGUAAUUCCAUUCUUCCUUAGGAGGCUAUUUCUAUUACAAAUACUCCUUACAGUCAAUAUGGCAGAUGGGUGCUUUGUGAAUUCUUACCACUUAUAGAAUGUAUAUAUUUAAGACUUCUAUGGAUCAUAGGAAGAAAACAUAUGGACAAAAAUGAAGAGAAAUCAAGGACAAAGAAGAUAGUUUGUCUUUCUUUAAUCAAAGUUAUGGAAGAAAUGAAAAAAAAAUCCUACAGAAUAAGGACAAGAUUAUAAGAAAAAUAUCUGGUAGUUUUCUACAUCUGAUAAAGGAUUUCAAUUCAAAAGCCCAAUGAAUCCUAAGGCAGAUACAUGAAAAUCAAUCCAUUUCAAAUUUCCACAUCACAGCGAAGCUUCAGAACUAAAGGGUCCUGGACUGGAUUAGAAGGAAGUUGAGCACAGGCAUUCAUUGCUCUCUCCCUCCUGACAGUGGAUGUGAACUCCUGCUCCUGCCACCACACCAUCCCUGCCGCCACAUCAUUCCUGCUGCCACACCAUCCCUGCCGCCUAGGACUGCUGUGGGAUGGUCUGUAUGUCAAAUGUGUUGCUGAUUGAUCAAUGAAUAAAUCACUGAUUGGCAGUGGCCAGGCAGGAAGUAUAGGCGGGACUAACAGAGAGGAGAAUUGAGAGAACAGGAAGCUGGGUGGGGGAGACACUACCAGCCGCCAUCAGGACAAGGAAGAUGUAAAGUACCGGUAAGCCUCAAGCCACGUGGCAAGGUAUAGAUUAAUAGAAAUGGAUUAAUUUAAGCUGUAAGAACAGUUAGCAAGAUGCCUGCCAUGGCCAUACAGUUUGUAACCAAUAUAAGUCUCUGUGUUUACUUGAUCAGGUUUGAGCGGCUUGGGACUGGUGGGUGAGAGAGAUUUGUCCUGAAUGUGGGCCAGGCAGGAAAACAUUAGCAACAAAUGGCGUCCAACGUGGUGGCAAGAGUUUCCACCUAAAAACUGAGAAAAAAGAUUCUAAAACAGAGCUAAAAACAGCUUCCUAAUUGUCUCUCUCAAAUGAGCGGCAGCUGCCGGUUUGAGCUACUAGUUUGAGCUACUGGCGGGUUCCUAUCGUGCGUGCAUGCUCGACCUGCAGUAUGGUGGGAAUGAGGCCUCUGCAAGUGGCACAUUAAGCUGUGUGGUGGAUUUAGCCUUUGCUAGUACAAAACAAAAAAAAAAAAAAAGAGGUUUCUGGGCUACACGCUGCUUGAUAGAAGCACAGACCCACUAUUUCUGAGAGUUGAUGGCUCCCAGAGCUGGCGGAAAACGUAGCACCACCAUGUUGGGAAGCUGAAGUGGGUGGAGCCAGCAGCCACAGCGCCAGCGCCGUUUCAGGCUUAGAAGGCUGCAGUUUAAAGCAAUAGGCUCAAGCUAAUAUAAAAAAAUAAGCCACGUAAAGAUGGCUACCACACAGAGAAUCUGGAUUAUGUUCUCUUUGAUAUUCGUAACUAAAGAAAAACAUUUGAUUACAAAAGCUGUUGAGUUAUGCCAAAAUGUAUAUUUUAAAGGUAACUUGACUUCAAAAUUUAGAUGUAAGGAUAUGUUGCUUUGGAAAGGAGGCUCUGCUUUUGUUUCCACAGAAAGCCAGAGGCUAUGGAUUUGUUCCAGAUUAAGACACAUCAGGUUUGACCAGCCAAGACCACCUGAAAGGUCUCUGAUGACACCAUGGCCCAGAUGAUCCAACAUCCAGAACCGUUUCAAGGCAACUGGCUCAGACGAUACACCCUCAUGGACUACUCCAUAACCCUAAAAUAUUCUUUGUGUCCCCAUAAGAUACAGCGCCCCCCUCCGGCAGGAAGUAGUAAGAGAAACUACGCCCAAAUUCCCAAAUAUACCAAGCUGACUUUGGAGAUGUGUAAAGGUUAAAACCUUCCUUUUUAAGAAAAGAAAAGGGGAAGUGCUGUGGGAUGGUCUGUAUGUCAAAUGUGUUGCUGAUUGGUCAAUGAAUAAAUCACUGAUUGGCAGUGGCCAGGCAGGAAGUAUAGGCGGGACUAACAGAGAGGAGAAUUGAGAGAACAGGAAGCUGGGUGGGGGAGACACUACCAGCCGCCAUCAGGAUAAGGAAGAUGUAAAGUACCAGUAAGCCACAAGCCACGUGGCAAGGUAUAGAUUAAUAGAAAUGGAUUAAUUUAAGCUGUAAGAACAGUUAGCAAGAAGCCUGCCACGGCCAUACAGUUUGUAACCAAUAUAAGUCUCUGUGUUUA